rnacentral:rRNA from 1 species
UACGGGUGGCUGCAGUCGAGGAUCUUCGGCAAUGGGCGCAAGCCUGACCGAGCGACGCCGCGUGCGCGAUGAAGGCCUUCGGGUUGUAAAGCGCUGUCGAGGGGGAGGAAAGCCCGCAAGGGUUUGACCUAUCCCUGGAGGAAGGACGGGCUAAGUUCGUGCCAGCAGCCGCGGUAAGACGAACCGUCCUAACGUUGUUCGGAAUCACUGGGCUUAAAGGGCGCGUAGGCGGACUGCCAAGUCAGGGGUGAAAUCUUUCGGCCCAACCGGAAAAGUGCUUCUGAUACUGGCAGUCUCGAGGGAGGUAGGGGCGCGUGGAACUAUUGGUGGAGCGGUGAAAUGCGUAGAUAUCAAUAGGAACGCCGGUGGCGAAAGCGACGCGCUGGACCUUUUCUGACGCUGAGGCGCGAAAGCCAGGGGAGCAAACGGGAUUAGAUACCCCAGUAGUCAUCUUUCUAGA